CCUCCUCCUGCUGCUGCUGCUGUUGCUGCUGCUGCUGCUGCUGCAGCAGCAGCAGCAGCAGGAGGAGACACACU
rnacentral:snoRNA from 1 species